UGAGGAAUAUUGCACAAUGGGCGCAAGCCUGAUGCAGCAACACCGCGUGCGGGACGAAGGCCUUCGGGUCGUAAACCGCUUUUCUGGGGAAAGAGCAAGGACGGUACCUCAGGGAUAAGUCUCGGCUAACUACGUGCCAGCAGCCGCGGUAAAACGUAGGAGGCGAGCGUUAUCCGGAUUUACUGGGCGUAAAGCGCACGCAGGCGGCUCUGUGAGUCGGACGUGAAAGCUCCAGGCUUAACCGGGAGAGGCCGUUCGAUACUGCGGGGCUUGAGGUAGGGAGAGGAAUGCGGAAUUCCCGGUGUAGUGGUGGAAUGCGUAGAUAUCGGGAGGAACACCUGUGGCGAAAGCGGCAUUCUGGCCCUCACCUGACGCUGAGGUGCGAAAGCGUGGGUAGCAAACAG
rnacentral:rRNA from 1 species